rnacentral:rRNA from 1 species
UACGUAGGGUCCAAGCGUUGUCCGGAUUUAUUGGGCGUAAAGAGCUCGUAGGCGGCUCAGUAAGUCGGAUGUGAAAACUCGGGGCUCAACCCCGAGACGCCAUCCGAUACUGCUGUGGCUUGAGUCUGGUAGGGGAACACGGAAUUCCUGGUGUAGCGGUGAAAUGCGCAGAUAUCAGGAGGAACACCGGUGGCGAAGGCGGGUCUCUGGGCCGAUACUGACGCUGAGGAGCGAAAGCGUGGGGAGCGAACAGG